rnacentral:tRNA from 1 species
ACGGGUAUAGUUCAAAGGUAGAAUAGAGGUCUCCAAAACCUUAGAUCUGGGUUCGAAUCCUAGUACCCGUGCCA